rnacentral:rRNA from 1 species
GACGAACGCUGACGGCGUGCCUAAUACAUGCAAGUUGAGCGCUGAAGGUUGGUACUUGUACCAACUGGAUGAGCAGCGAACGGGUGAGUAACGCGUGGGGAAUCUGCCUUUGAGCGGGGGACAACAUUUGGAAACGAAUGCUAAUACCGCAUAAAAACUUUAAACACAAGUUUUAAGUUUGAAAGAUGCAAUUGCAUCACUCAAAGAUGAUCCCGCGUUGUAUUAGCUAGUUGGUGAGGUAAAGGCUCACCAAGGCGAUGAUACAUAGCCGACCUGAGAGGGUGAUCGGCCACAUUGGGACUGAGACACGGCCCAAACUCCUACGGGAGGCAGCAGUAGGGAAUCUUCGGCAAUGGACGAAAGUCUGAACGAGCAACGCCGCGUGAGUGAAGAAGGUUUUCGGAUCGUAAAACUCUGUUGGUAGAGAAGAACGUUGGUGAGAGUGGAAAGCUCAUCAAGUGACGGUAACUACCCAGAAAGGGACGGCUAACUACGUG